CCUACGGGAGGCAGCAGUAAGGAAUAUUGGACAAUGCUCGCAAGAGUGAUCCAGCCAUGCCGCGUGCAGGAAGAAUGCCCUAUGGGUAGUAAACUGCUUUUGAACUAGAGAAAACCCCAGUACGUGUACUGGGCUGAUAGUAUAGUUAGAAUAAGCAUCGGCUAACUUCGUGCCAGCAGCCGCGGUAAGACGAAGGAUGCAAGCGUUAUCCGGAUUCAUUGGGUUUAAAGGGAGCGUAGGUGGACUGAUAAGUCAGUGGUGAAAUCUCCGAGCUUAACUCGGAAAUUGCCAUUGAUACUGUUGGUCUUGAGUACAGUUGCUGUGGGCGGAAUAUGACAUGUAGUGGUGAAAUACAUAGAGAUGUCAUAGAACACCGAUUGCGAAGGCAGCUCACAAAGCUGUAACUGACACUGAGGCUCGAAAGUGCGGGGAUCAAACAGGAUUAGAUACCCUGGUAGUCCGCACCGUAAACGAUGAUUACUCGCUGCUAGGGGGCAACCUUUAGUGGCUUAGCGAAGCGAUAAGAAUCACCUGGGAGUACGCCGGCGACGGUGAACGUCGAAAGGAUUGACGG
rnacentral:rRNA from 1 species